AUUGAACGCUGGCGGCAUGCCUUACACAUGCAAGUCGAACGGCAGCGGGGGAGAAGCUUGCUUUUCCUGCCGGCGAGUGGCGAACGGGUGAGUAAUACAUCGGAACGUGCCCUGUAGUGGGGGAUAACUAGUCGAAAGAUUAGCUAAUACCGCAUACGACCUGAGGGUGAAAGUGGGGGACCGCAAGGCCUCACGCUAUAGGAGCGGCCGAUGUCUGUUUAGCUAGUUGGUGGGGUAAAGGCCUACCAAGGCGACGAUCAGUAGCUGGUCUGAGAGGACGAUCAGCCACACUGGGACUGAGACACGGGCCAGACUCCUACGGGAGGCAGCAGUGGGGAAUUUUGGACAAUGGGCGAAAGCCUGAUCCAGCAAUGCCGCGUGUGUGAAGAAGGCCUUCGGGUUGUAAAGCACUUUUGUCCGGAAAGAAAUGGCUCUGGUUAAUACCUGGGGUCGAUGACGGUACCGGAAGAAUAAGGACCGGCUAACUACGUGCCAGCCGCCGCGGUAA
rnacentral:rRNA from 1 species